rnacentral:rRNA from 1 species
GACGAACGCUGGCGGCGUGCUUAACACAUGCAAGUCGAACGGAAAGGCCCUUCUUUUGUGGGGUGCUCUAGUGGCUACCUUUUUAGUAACACUUUAGUAACCUGCCCUUUACUUUGUGAUAACUUCAGGAAACUUGGGCUAAUACCUGAUAGGAUCUCCUGCUGCAUUUUGUGGGUUGGAAAGUUUCGGCGGUUGGGGAUGGACUCGCGGCUUAUCAGCUUGUUGGUGGGGUAGUGGCUUACCAAGGCUUUGACGGGUAGCCGGCCUGAGAGGGUGACCGGACACAUUGGGACUGAGAUAAGGCCCAGACUCAUACGGGAGGCAGAAGUGGGGAAUAUUGCACAAUGGGAGGAAGCCUGAUGCAGAAACGACGAGUGCGGGAUGACGGCCUUAGGGUUGUAAACCGCUUUCGCCUGUGACGAAGCGUGAGUGACGGUAAUGGGUAAAGAAGCACCGGCUAACUACGUG